GACGAACGCUGGCGGCGUGCUUAACACAUGCAAGUCGAACGGAAAGGCCCUGCUUGCAGGGUGCUCGAGUGGCGAACGGGUGUGUAACACGUGGGUGAUCUGCCCCUUACUUUGGGAUAAGCCUGGGAAACUGGGUCUAAUACUGGAUAGGACCAUGCUGUAGGUGGUGUGGUGGAAAGAUUAGUUUCGGUAAGGGAUGAGCUCGCGGCCUAUCAGCUUGUUGGUGGGGUAAUGGCCUACCAAGGCGUCGACGGGUAGCCGGCCUGAGAGGGUGGACGGCCACAUUGGGACUGAGAUACGGCCCAGACUCCUACGGGAGGCAGCAGUGGGGAAUAUUGCACAAUGGGCGCAAGCCUGAUGCAGCGACGCCGCGUGGGGGAUGACGGCCUUCGGGUUGUAAACUCCUUUCAGCCAUGACGAAGCCCUUGUGGUGACGGUAGUGGUAGAAGAAGCACCGGCUAACUACGUG
rnacentral:rRNA from 1 species